GUCUCCCUCUCUCAAUCUCCCUCUCCCUCUCCCUCUCUUAAUCUCCCUCUCUUUUGAUCUUCUGAUCUCAACCCCCUCCAUCGAUCUCCCUCUCACUCUCCCUCCUUCUCGUUCGAUCUCCCUCUCCCGAUCUCAACCCUCUCUCUCGAUCUCCCUCUCCCGAUCUCAACCCUCUUUCUCGAUCUCCCUCUCACUCUCCCUCCCUCUCUCUAUGUAAUAGGCCCACCGAAAACGGGUUUAGAACAGAUGACGAGAAUGAGUUCUGGGAGAAAGUGAGUGUGGCGGAGGAGAGGAAAGAAGCUAUGGUGGUGCUGUGAUGUUCUCAGUUGAAGGUUCUGUCUCACUCGUCUGUAGGGUGCUUUGUGUCGCACUCCAACAAAGAGAUUUCUACAAACAGCUCUGCCUACCAGACCUUACUCUCCAUCACUAAUAGAUUCAUGUGUGCCACUAAUUAGAUGACAGGGCAUUUGAGUACAAGAAAAACAGAAGCAGGAAGGACACUGAAGUGGCAUAUGCAGAAGGAUAGAGAAGUUUACAUUUUCUUCAUUCUUCUUUUCACUUCUCUGAUAUUCCAUUGUAUUAAAGAAGUCUUGUACUAAGAAAGAUUUGAUUCACAGCUUAGAAAAUCACAAAGCAACAAUAUUUUUGUGAAUACAAUUUCCUUAUGUUUAAAGUAAUCAAAUACCUGAUUGGUCAAAAGCUUCUCAAUCACCAUCUAUCAGCAU